UCUAUAAAUACUCUGCUAUUUAAUAAACACCAAGUAGCUGCCUUUCCAGCCUCUUUUAUCAUUAAAAAAAAAAUUAACAAAUUUCUUAUUUAUUUAUUUUUUUCUUUUGUGUCACAACUUGGUGACCUUCCCACAUUUGGUCAAAAAGCACCCGAACUUCUCUUUAAUCCUUUUUAUUACAAUCUACGAGAAUAUAAAUUUCUACUCUCGACCUUUUAGACUGAUCGCGAGGGGACUUGACAC
rnacentral:lncRNA from 1 species